UCCACCGUCCUCCAAAACAUUAGAAGGUAUUAUGGACGAUAAUCAUGGUAAAGACGCUUCAAGGAUAGAAAAGGCACUACCAAGUAUGGCAACAUAAUAUUCUUAUCUCAAGGAGAUUAUUGAUGUUGUUGCUUAUAGGUCAAAAGAGUGGGAAGAAACAGUGGUUAUGAAAGCAAAGAAUUUGUGAAUUACAUGAGAAAGAGAGAGAAGCAAGAGAAAGCAAAAUGAAUUGUUCCCUCAAGCUCCAGAAACCAAAUGUGAAAAGUACAUCAAGAAGCAGAUGAAGAAGCAACUUCAUGGUGUGCGCAGGUCUAGGAAAGAAGAGGUCAAGUGAUGCCAGACAACAGCGAGCACGGCUUGCAACGCUCCCGUCGGGACAGGCUGCUGGAGUGGUGUUCAUGACCGCUGGUGCAGCUUGGGGAGAGAUGCCUGCAUUGAUGUACAACAAGUUUCCUGAAGCCAAGGUGAGCCUCUUUUAUAUGUUUGCGAGAGACCAUAUCCAGUAGCGUGAAGGAGAUCUGUUUCUACGAAUCUUCCCCAGCCAGCGGCUCCCGUGUGGUUGUGAUGGCAUAGCAAUCAAAUAUACAAGGUGUGUAUAUGCUUGGCUGGGAGGUUCUAGAAGACAUGUGCGCUAGCCGAUUGUCCGCUGACACAGUGGGAGGUGUCAGUCUCUCAUCCACUGACCAAGCGGCGAGGAGGAGCUCCACUGUGAAGGAGACAAUAGACUGGCAAUGCCUCAUUGCUACAACAGUGGUAUCAUUUCGAUGCGUUUAACCUUGGUGUCAGGAUCAUA